rnacentral:rRNA from 1 species
UACGAAGGGGGCUAGCGUUGCUCGGAAUCACUGGGCGUAAAGAGCUCGUAGGCGGCUUGUCACGUCGGGUGUGAAAGACCGGGGCUUAACCCCGGUUCUGCAUUCGAUACGGGCUAGCUAGAGUGUGGUAGGGGAGAUCGGAAUUCCUGGUGUAGCGGUGAAAUGCGCAGAUAUCAGGAGGAACACCGGUGGCGAAGGCGGAUCUCUGGGCCAUUACUGACGCUGAGGAGCGAAAGCGUGGGGAGCGAACAGG